UGAAGGCAUUCAGAUUUGGUAUGGCAUCGUCAUUCUACUGACAAGCCAUGGCCCGUUAACAAAAUUUACCAAGGACCACAGUUCUUUGCUGCGACAUUGGCUAGGUUUUGCUGACCACAAUACCAUUUGAACUGGAAAUGUUGUUGCGAGAAGAAUCCGUCUUGGGAUACAAGCCUAAUAGCAAGAUCAGAGGGCAUGGUUCCCACGAAGGCUGUCCAAGGGAGAUUCAGCAACCUACUUGAUCAGCAUGGUUUCAAGAUCAUUGGGCUUGGGUGUAACGGGGGCCUGGAGAAACCAUCACGUUGCAUGGAUGCUCGGAGACACUUGUCACCCCUGGAAUGCCUGCUGUGAACAAGAGCUGGGGCUGAACCAAGCUAAGAUUAUUGACAAUCCCUAUCAUGUUGCCAACGUCACCAAUGGCAGGACUGAAGAUGGAUCCAUUGGAAACUAAAGGCUUUUCCUCAGCCAACACCUCAUGAACUAGACUGGAAAAUAGCACAGGUGAUCAAGACUGAUACCGCACAAUCGUCCUCCUGGUUAACAAGCUAAGACCAAUCCAGAUGGGGAGGGUUGGCCCUCCAACACCACUACCAAUGCUCUCAGCUGGGAUCAGUGGACUGCAGCAAUAUCUUACUGAAGACAAAGAUGAGGGAAUCUACAAUGUUGAUGCAAGAUUGCCCUGUGAUGUCCAGGCAUCUUUGACUACAACGCUUUGGUUCACCAGUAGGUCCUCGGAUGGUAAAGUUUGGACACAACAUCCUGAGCAUGAAGAAUAUUCUGAAAGACAGCACAAACAAUAUUUGGACAUUCAAUUUUUCAGCUGAGAAGGACCUUUUUUCAAGUUAGGACUAAAGCCCCUGGGCCUGCUUUAGGCCUAUAACUGUAGUUUGUGCUCUGUAGUAUGUGAUUUGAAAAGAUUGGAGUAAGGAUUGUACAAUGGAACAAGUGUUAUUUUGUUUGCCACAGUAACUUAAGCCAGAGAUUGUUGGACUGGGUCCAUUAAAUGUGACAAAAAUAUCCAACACCUAUUUACAAAUGAAGUGAGGGGGUCAGCCUUUUGGUGUAACUCCAUAUAACUGUCUGGUGAUUUCGCUCUGGGCUUGUGACAUUCUGAUCGGUCUGAAAUAAUCAUUGUCGCCCAUCCCUCAAUUUGAGGCCUGUGUCCCGAUGGUGGCGUUGAAUGGCAAAAUCAAAGGGGCAUGACGGCGGUUAAACCUAUUGCGAAUGGGCAGCAUCACAACCAGUUCUGAGAUCUGGGGGUGGUGUAGGAUAUCUGGUUACCACGCACACAUCUCUUGAAUCUGCGGUGGGUUGGUACCCCACGCUACGUAAGGGGAGGUUCUGGGUAAGACUUGGUCCACGUGAAUAGGUUGUACCUGAAAGAUGAGAAGAUGCGAAUGGUCGCCUUAGAAUAUGUCCUUCGACCAGCUAGUGCUAACCCGGUCACUGUCUCCAGGUCACCACACCUUGGUCAAUGAGCGGGCGAAGAACCCAAUGGCUCCAUCAGGAGUACAUCGUCAACUUCAGCCCGUAGUCAAACCGGUCCACGUACAAAUAUCUUAGCUGAGAGUGGGGGACGUACUUGCUUCUCAUCGGGGUAAUACAGUACCACUGUAUACAAUGACCCCAUUUUAGUUGGAUUUUACUGAGGAGUGGACGAUAAUGAGAAUUUCAGGCCAGUCCGAUUGUCACCAGUUCAGAGGGCGAUUACCCGAUAGUUAUGUGGCAUUCCAUCAAACGGUGAACUCUUUCACAUCCUUUGUAAAUUAGUGUUGCUUGUUACAUGUCACAUUCAAUGGCUCAUUUGAGGAUAGUUUCUGUGAUUCUACUUUACCAUGAGCAGGCCCAUUAAAACCUAAACUGUGUAGUUUGUGCUCUGUAGUAUGUGAUCUAAAAAGUUGAAAAUCUGGUUAUUGUAGUAAAGAUUGUAGAAUGGAAUAUCCGCGGGAUGCCCUAAUCUGAGAGCCAAGAGCCAAGACGCUAUUAAAGAGCCAAUUAAGUGCUGCCAGGAAAGCCCCGAGCCAAAGAAAAAGUUUAGGCUAAUGAAACUUUGGGAAUCCUAAGCCUACAGGUACCCUACUGGAUAAAAAAUUAAUUUAUUAUGUAAUCAUUUAUGAUAUUGUAAGAAAUCACCACCUUGAUAGCUAUAUGGUUCACAGUCUACCAUGCCAGGAUUUUUUAUUGUACUCUUGUUAUGCUGUCAAUACAAUAGGGCAAGUACAGUGUACAUGAGUCUGCACUUCAUACACUGUGUACAAUCGCACUUGUUUGUCAUUCCUGCCGUAUCAUGUAGCCUUGCGCAAAUAGUUCAAUCAAAAUUGUUUUAAAAAGGCAUGAUAUUGCUCAAAUUUGUAAAUUCUUGAUUGAAAUCUGCCAAUUCAAGUAAUGAGAUAGCGGUACUCUGCUUAUCUGUACUAUAAAAAAACCGACGGUUAUCGCGGCUCUUGGCUCUAGGUUUAGGGUGUCCCAAUAUCCACACCUGGUAUUCUUUAGUUACUGUGUAGUGACCUUUUUGUUUUCACUUUUAAAAACCUAUUCGAUUUGCCGCACUGAAGGUCCCUCCAGAGAUUGUUGGACUGGGUCCAUUAAAUGUGACAAAAAUAUCCAACACCUAUUUACAAAUGAAGUGAGGGGGUCAGCCUUUUGGUGUAACUCCAUAUAACUGUCUGGUGAUUUCGCUCUGGGCUUGUGACAUUCUGAUCGGUCUGAAAUAAUCAUUGUCGCCCAUCCCUCAAUUUGAGGCCUGUGUCCCGAUGGUGGCGUUGAAUGGCAAAAUCAAAGGGGCAUGACGGCGGUUAAACCUAUUGCGAAUGGGCAGCAUCACAACCAGUUCUAAGAUCUGGGGGUGGUGUAGGAUAUCUGGUUACCACGCACACAUCUCUUGAAUCUGCGGUGGGUUGGUACCCCACGCUACGUAAGGGGAGGUUCUGGGUAAGACUUGGUCCACGUGAAUAGGUUGUACCUGAAAGAUGAGAAGAUGCGAAUGGACGCCUUAGAAUAUGUCCUUCGACCAGCUAGUGCUAACCCGGUCACUAUCUCCAGGUCACCAUACCUUGGUCAAUGAGCGGGCGAAGAACCCAAUGGCUCCGUCAGGAGUACAUCGUCAACUUCAGCCUGUAGUCAAACCGGUCCACGUACAAAUAUCUUAGCUGAGAGUGGGGGACGUACUUGCUUCUCAUCGGGGUAAUACAGUACCACUGUAUACAAUGACCCCAUUUUAGUUGGAUUUUACUGAGGAGUGGACGAUAAUGAGAAUUUCAGGCCAGUCCGAUUGUCACCAGUUCAGAGGGCGAUUACCUGAUAGUUGUGUGGCAUUCCAUCAAACUGUGAACUCUUUCACAUCCUUUGUAAAUUAGUGUUGCUUGUUACAUGUCACAUUCAAUGGCUCAUUUGAGGAUAGUUUCUGUGAUUCUACUUUACCAUGAGCAGGCCCAUUAAAACCUAAACUGUGUAGUUUGUGCUCUGUAGUAUGUGAUCUAAAAAGUUGUAAAUCUGGUUAUUGGAGUAAAGAUUGUAGAAUGGAAUAUCCGCGGGAUGCCCUAAUCUGAGAGCCAAGAGCCAAGACGCUGUUAAAGAGCCAAUUAAGUGCUGCCAGGAAAGCCCUGAGCCAAAGAAAAAGUUAAGGCUAAUGAAACUUUGGGAAUCCUAAGCCUACAGGUAGCCUACUUGAUAAAAAAUAAAUAUAUUAUGUAACCAUUUAUGACGUUGUAAGACAUCGCCAGUCUGAUUGUCACCAGUACCUGAUAGUUAUGUGGCGUUCCUGUCAAACUUUUAACUCUUUCACGUCCAUUGUAAAUUAGUGUUGCUUGUUACAUGUUACAU